UACAUCUCCAUCUGUUCAUAGCUUCUGUCUCUUUCUCUCCGCUCUGAAAAAAAUCUAGAAUCCCUUCUUCUCCUUCCUCCUCCGUUUCCAUUUGAUUUCCCUCCACAGAUCUCCAAAAUUCUCUCUCUCCCAAACCCUAAUUUUCUCUCUCUACACACUCUCUAUUUCCCUCUUUCUCUCUGUCCGUCUAAGCAAUCCACACUGAUCGAUUUCUUCCGCCGAUGGUUCUAAAAGCUUCAUGAAUCUUCCCGAUAAGGCGCGCUUCUCGCUCUUCAUGGACCACCGCCACCGCCCUUACCAUGCCUGAGCUGCGACCACGGAGAAACCGGGCGCCCGAUAACCCUGACCCGAACCGAAACCCGCACCCGAUCAUCAAGACCCCGCCCCGGAAGGCGACUGUACGGACUCGGCAGAACAAGAAGAAUAAUAAUAAUCAGAAGAAGAAACAGAUUAAUAAUCAGAAGGAAAAGAAGGUAGCUGGUGCCGGCAAGCGUAGGAGGGCCGAGGGUGGUCCGGUGAUUGAAAAGAGGUCGUUUAAGGAGGAGGCUGGUGAGAGAGCCAUGGACGAGUACGAUAGCGGCGGCCGCAGUGGCGAUAAGGGUCCCGGAGCUGACGAUGAGGGCGCAGCUCCUAUUCCCGAGAAGGUCCAGGUUGGUGGUUCCCCGGUAUACAAAAUAGAGAAGAAAUUGGGGAAAGGAGGCUUUGGUCAAGUAUAUGUUGGUCGACGCAUGGGGGCCGGCCCUGGAGCUGUUGAGGUUGCUUUGAAAUUUGAGCAUAGAAGUAGCAAAGGAUGUAAUUAUGGUCCACCUCAUGAAUGGCAGAUUUACAAUGCACUUGGCGGUAGUCAUGGGGUGCCAAGGGUUCAUUAUAAGGGUCGGCAAGCUGACUACUAUAUCAUGGUGAUGGAUAUGCUUGGGCCUAGUUUGUGGGAUGUCUGGAAUAACAGCUCGCACACGAUGUCAAUUGAAAUGGUUGCAUGUAUUGCCAUUGAGGGAAUAUCCAUAUUGGAGAAGAUGCACUCUAGAGGUUAUGUACAUGGGGAUGUAAAACCUGAGAACUUUUUGCUUGGCCCCCCUGGAACUGCCGAGGAGAAGAAGCUGUUUCUUGUUGACCUUGGACUAGCCACCAGGUGGCGAGAUUCGACUGGUCUGCAUGUCGACUAUGAUCAACGUCCAGAUGUUUUCAGGGGAACGGUGCGGUAUGCUAGUGUGCAUGCUCAUCUUGGUAGAACUGGUAGCAGGAGAGAUGACUUGGAAUCUCUAGCUUACACCCUGAUAUUUCUUCUUCGUGGUCGGUUGCCAUGGCAAGGAUAUCAGGGGGAAAAUAAAGGAUUUCUUGUCUGCAAGAAAAAGAUGGCCACUUCCCCAGAAACUUUGUGUUGCCUCUGCCCUCAGCCAUUCCGACAAUUUGUUGAGUAUGUGGUGAAUUUGAAGUUUGACGAAGAACCAAACUAUGCAAAGUAUAUAUCCCUUUUUGAUGGAAUUGUUGGCCCAAACCCAGAUGUCAGGCCAAUAAAUACUGAUGGUGCUCAGAAGCUUAUAUGCCAAGUUGGACAAAAGAGAGCAAGAUUGACCAUGGAGGAAGAGGAUGAUGAGCAACCAAAUAAGAAGAUUCGUAUGGGGAUGCCUGCAACCCAAUGGAUUAGUGUAUACAAUGCUCGUAGGCCUAUGAAGCAAAGAUAUCACUAUAAUGUUGCAGAUGUGAGGCUCUCCCAGCACAUUGAGAAAGGAAAUGAAGAUGGGUUAUUAAUUAGCAGUGUGGCUUCCUGUUCAAAUCUUUGGGCUCUUAUUAUGGAUGCUGGCACUGGCUUCAGUGCCCAAGUUUAUGAACUCUCUCCAUAUUUUCUGCAUAAGGAAUGGAUUAUGGAGCAGUGGGACAAGAAUUACUAUAUUAGUGCGAUAGCAGGAGCAAACAAUGGAAGCUCUUUAGUUGUAAUGUCUAAAGGGACCCAAUACUUACAGCAGUCCUAUAAAGUCAGCGAGUCAUUUCCUUUCAAGUGGAUUAAUAAGAAAUGGAGGGAAGGAUUUCAUGUUACAGCAAUGGCAACUGCUGGGAGUAGAUGGGCUAUUGUUAUGUCCCGCGGUGCUGGAUUUUCUGACCAGGUUGUGGAACUAGAUUUUCUCUAUCCAAGUGAAGGCAUUCAUCGAAGGUGGGAUAAUGGUUACCGCAUCACGUCAACUGCAGCAACUUGGGAUCAGGCAGCUUUUGUCCUUAGUGUUCCAAGGAGAAAACCGGCAGAUGAAACUCAAGAGACGCUUCGGACUUCUGCUUUUCCUAGUACACAUGUUAAGGAGAAAUGGGGAAAGAACCUUUAUAUUGCAUCAAUUUGCUAUGGUAGAACUGUCUCAUGAACAUGCAAGUAGAUGCUGCUGAUGGAAUUCUGAUAAUUCACCUUUAUGAGCCGGAAGCCAGCUUUUACCAUGUAGUGCCUGUUCAGAAUGAAAAGAUCCUCUCACGGGAAAUUGAUUGGUCUUGGCAUUUUGGGAGUUGAUGGGUGAGCUUCUUUGUGGACUUUAAGAUGAGAUGUCCCAAUUUGACCAUUAAACAGAAAGCAGUUGUAUACUUCAAAGUAUCAGUGUGUAAUGGUUACGUGGUCAUCUUAUUUAUUUUUUAGUUAAUCUCGAUCACUUUCCAAAUGCUUGUGUCCUUUUAUUUAUAACUGCUGAUUAUGUAUUCUGACCUUUUCUUAAUCUGUACAUUACACAUAGGAGUUGCGCUCUAUGACCAUGCUAGAUUUCCAGUGAAUAAAUGAGUAUUACAGGUUAAAUAGUUGAUAAUUUUGGUCAAGGUCUUUGAAGCAGAACUGCUGUAGGGGAGGUUAUAUUGCACCAGUGUAUAAAUAAGAUCUAUGUUGCCGAGAAAGAUGGAGCCUUCUUGCCCAUUGCUAAAAGAUCUCAUUAUCGAUUGGCAUUCAUCAUCUGUUGCACAUCACUCAUAUUUCUGUGUGUACUCAAGUUAGCCGACAUUCACCUCUUCCAGACCCUGCGUAAAGCGGGAGCCUUGUGCACUGGGACUUGGUGGCUCUUGCAUGUCCAUCCGUGAUGCUGCUAUUGGUGGAAGUGCGAGUUUUCAAACACAAGGUAAGCCAUCUUUCUUUAAAUAACUUCCCAACACCCAACCCUCGCCCUGCCCUGGUAACUAUUGUUAAACGCUAAUUGCAUACUGCUUUUUGUCUUGUGUGACUGCAUCAUUUUGCUGCAGUUCAGUCUAGUUGCAUAUAUGAGCUUGUAAGUCGGUUACUGGUACAGCUUGGGAAACUUAAUAAUAGUAGGUGCUAGAAGGAAAGUAGUUAAACGUAACAGGCAGAUUAAGAGCCAGAAAAAUGAGUGUUGCACCAUGACUGCGUUUGCUUAUGCCAAAAAACAUUGGUCCUUUUUUAGGGAAAUAAAGAGGUAAAGAAUGAAGAGCCUUGGCUUUGUUCGGAAGCUGUAAUGGGUAGUUGUAGUCAUUGAGUUUAGUGGUACGCAAACUCUAAAAACAUGCUUUCAACAAUGCAUCUCGUGUUUAGACCAUAAAAACAAUGAAUCUUGUUGAUAAAUCAUAUAUGUUAUUAUUUCCAAUGUGCAUGCGAAUCUAUAAGAAAAAUGUGCUUCACCCAUACAGAAUACAGAUACAGCCUUCCUUUCAACUCCAAGCAUUUGGUUUCCUUUUCAGAUGCAGAUUUAAAGUGAUCUUAGCCAUGGCAUUGUGGUGCUGAUUUUUCUGGUUUCAACUGAUCGAUCAUACUAAUUUCCGCCAUGUCAUGAUUUCGCCUUUUCAGAUGAUGAUAUAUCCAUGCUGAACUUGAGGCAUCUAGGUUGAAUUUACCACUGUCAAAGUGAAGAAUUGCAGUAUUUGAUGUCAUCUUUUUAAAUAUAUGAAUUUUCAAAGUUCUAAAAGCCGUCAUAAAACCUAUUUUUGCAGCAUAUACCGUCUCAUAAGCUUUUUACAUUCCAUGCAUGACACUGCAUUGAUGGCUUUGUUGCUAGAAAUCCAUUCUAUGUACGCUUAUUUUUGCUUUCCCCGAAUGAAAAUUCAAUAAUAAAUGAUAGGGUAAAUUGCGGUUUAA